rnacentral:rRNA from 1 species
UCCGGUGGCAAUAGCGGAAGUUAAAAACCCGUUCCCAUACCGAACACGGAAGUGAAGCCCUCCAGCGCCGAUGGUACUGAUUACUCGGGAGAGUAGGUCGCUGCCGGAU